GGAAGUAAAAGUCGUAACAAGGUCUCCGUUGGUGAACCAGCGGAGGGAUCAUUACCGAGUUUACAACUCCCAAACCCCUGUGAACAUACCUUAAUGUUGCCUCGGCGGAUCAGCCCGCGCCCCGUAAAACGGGACGGCCCGCCAGAGGACCCAAACUCUAAUGUUUCUUAUUGUAACUUCUGAGUAAAACAAACAAAUAAAUCAAAACUUUCAACAACGGAUCUCUUGGUUCUGGCAUCGAUGAAGAACGCAGCAAAAUGCGAUAAGUAAUGUGAAUUGCAGAAUUCAGUGAAUCAUCGAAUCUUUGAACGCACAUUGCGCCCGCUGGUAUUCCGGCGGGCAUGCCUGUUCGAGCGUCAUUUCAACCCUCAAGCCCCCCGGGUUUGGUGUUGGGGAUCGGCUCUGCCCUUCUGGGCGGUGCCGCCCCCGAAAUACAUUGGCGGUCUCGCUGCAGCCUCCAUUGCGUAGUAGCUAACACCUCGCAACUGGAACGCGGCGCGGCCAUGCCGUAAAACCCCAACUUCUGAAUGUUGACCUCGGAUCAGGUAGGAAUACCCGCUGAACUUAAGCAUAUCAAUAAGCGGAGGA
rnacentral:rRNA from 1 species